rfam:Gossypium arboreum cultivar AKA8401 contig_161_5, whole genome shotgun sequence.
UGUUGAAAAUUUCAUCCAUUUGUAUAGCUAUAAAUUGACAUAGCUAACAAAAUAACUAGAUAAUGAUAUGUGGCAUGCCGUGUAUACUUUAUACUAACGUAUAAAGAUCAAAUUUUAAUAGUAAAAUUGGAUGGAAUUUUUGAUG